AGGGAUGUAGCUCAGUGAUAGAGUACUUGCUAGCAAGCACAAAGGCCCUGGGUUCAAUCCCCAACACCUCUA
rnacentral:tRNA from 1 species